UACGUAGGGGGCGAGCGUUGUCCGGAUUUAUUGGGCGUAAAGAGCGUGUAGGCGGCCAGGUAGGUCUGCUGUGAAAACUCGAGGCUCAACCUCGAGACGUCGGCGGAAACCAUCUGGCUAGAGUCCGGAAGAGGAGAGUGGAAUUCCUGGUGUAGCGGUGAAAUGCGCAGAUAUCAGGAAGAACACCAGUGGCGAAGGCGGCGACCUGGGCCAAUAUUGACGCUGAGGUGCGAAAGCGUGGGGAGCAAACAGG
rnacentral:rRNA from 1 species